GAUGAACGCUGGCGGCGUGCCUAACACAUGCAAGUCGAGCGAACAACCGAGGAGCUUGCUCCUCCGGCAUUAGUGGCGGACGGGUGAGUAACACGUGGGUAACCUGCCUAUAACACUGGGAUAACCGCGGGAAACCGGAUCUAAUACCGGAUAAUACAUGGAACCGCAUGCUCCAAUAGUGAAAGACGCUUUUGCUCUCACUUAUAUAUGGAUCCGCGCCGCGUUUGCUAGUUUGGAGGGCAACGGGUUACCAAGCCAAUGACGCGUAGCGUACCUCAACGGGGGGUCGGCCACCCGGGAACUUAGACACGGUCCAGACUACUGAGGGAGGCAGCAGUAGGGAAUCUUCCGCAAUGGGGGAGAGCCUUACGGAGCAACGCCGCGUGAGUGAUGAAGGUGUUCGGAUCGUAAAGCUCUGUUAUUAGGGAAGAACCAAUGUGUAAGUAGCUGUGCACGUCUUGACGGUACCUGAUCAAAAAGCCCCGGCUAACUACGUG
rnacentral:rRNA from 1 species